rnacentral:rRNA from 1 species
GACGAACGCUGGCGGCGUGCUUAACACAUGCAAGUCGAACGGAAAGGCCCUGCUUUUGUGGGGUGCUCGAGUGGCGAACGGGUGAGUAACACGUGUGUAACCUGCCCUUGACUUUGGGAUAACUUCAGGAAAAAGGGGCUAAUACCGGCUAGGAGCUCCUGCUGCACGGGGGGGGUAGGCUAAUUUCGGCGGUUUGGGCUGGACUCGCGGCUUACCAGCUUGAUGGGGGGGUAGUGGCUUUCCAAGCCUUUGACGGGUAGCCGGCAUGGGAGGGUGGACGCCCACAAUGGGACUACGGGACGCCGCAGACUCCAACGGUAGGCAGCGGUGGGGAAUCUGGCACAAUGAGCCGACGCGUGAUACGGCAGCGCCCCGUGCGUGAUGCCCUCCUUCGGGUUGUAAACCGAUUUCGCCUGAGACGAAGCGUGAGUGACGGUAAUGGGUAAAGAAGCACCGGCUAACUACGUG